AUGUCCAUCGCGUGCUGCCUGCCGGUGGUGGAGUGCGUGUACUGCCUGGCAUGCACGCGCUGGGUGUGGGAGCGCUGCCUCCACACCACCGGCUACGACAGCGAGACCUGGGGCCUGGCCUCGCCGGGGGAGUUCGAGCCGGUGCCGCGGCUAUGCCGGUUCAUCCUGGCGGUCUACGAGGACGACCUGGAGACCCCGCAGUGGGCGCCGCCGGGGGGCUACGACAUCGAGCCCCGGUGGGUGGUGCGCCGGAGGACGCCCGAGCACGCGCAGGGGCGCGCCCCGACGUACCUGCUGUACGUCGACCACCGGCACGCGGACGUCGUGCUCGCCGUGCGCGGCAUGGACAUGGCCAAGGAGAGCGACUACGCCGUGCUGCUGGACAACAGGAUCGGGCAGGCGGGCUUUGACGGCGGCUACGUGCACAACGGCCUGCUCAAGGCCGCCGAGUGGGUGUUCGACGCCGAGUGCGACGUGCUGAGGGACCUCCUGGCCACGAAUCCCGGCUACACGCUCACGUUCGCUGGGCAUUCCCUCGGCUCCGGCGUCGCGGCCAUGCUGGCUCUGCUGGCGGUGCGCGACAGGGAGCGGCUGGGUGGCGUGGAGAGGAGGAGGAUACGGUGCUUCUCCAUGGCGCCUCCCAGGUGCAUGUCGCUCAAUCUGGCAGUCCGUUAUGCCGACGUCAUUAACUCGGUUAUUCUUCAGGAUGAUUUUCUGCCCCGCACCGACAUUCCUUUGGAAGACAUUAUCAAGUCACUUUUCUGCUUGCCAUGCCUUCUGUGUGGAAAUUGCCUCAUAGCCACAUGUAUACCUGAAAGUGUGAUGCUGAGAGAUCCAAGGCGUCUGUACGCACCAGGCCGGCUUUACCACAUUGUUGAAAGGAAGCCUUUCAGAUGUGGAAGAUAUCCGCCUGCCGUUAGAACAGCAGUUCCAGUGGAUGGCAGAUUUGAGAACAUAGUUCUUUCUUGCAACGCGAUUUCUGACCAUGCCAUUAUCUGGAUAGAAAGGGAAGCCCAAAGAGCGGUAGAUUUGAUGCUGGAGAAUGAGAGGACCAUGAAAGUGCCUGAGAAUCAAAGGAUGGAUGGUGAAACCGCGGCGACAAGGGAUCACGGUGAGGAGCAGCAGGCGGCCCUGAGGCGUGCUAUAGCGCUAGGGAUCGCGGAUGUCAACCUGCCGUCAACAUACGGAACAUUCGACGAAAAUGCAAACCCCGAGGAGAGUGAGGCUUCGCCGGUGCUGCUUGACAGCGGCAGGCGAAGAACGGUUUGGAAUGAGUGGAUUGCGAGGAUAUUUGAGAAGGAUGAAUCCGGGCAAAUGGUUCCACGGAGAUGA
rnacentral:rRNA from 1 species